rnacentral:rRNA from 1 species
UACGGGGGGAGCAAGCGUUGUUCGGAUUUACUGGGCGUAAAGGGCGCGUAGGCGGUCAGCACAAGUCAGUUGUGAAAUCUCCGGGCUUAACUCGGAAAGGUCAACUGAUACUGUGCGACUAGAGUGCAGAAGGGGCAACUGGAAUUCUCGGUGUAGCGGUGAAGUGCGUAGAUAUCGAGAGGAACACCUGCGGCGAAGGCGGGUUGCUGGGCUGACACUGACGCUGAAGCGCGAAAGCUAGGGGAGCGAACGGG